GGAUAAAAGGUACUCCGGGGAUAACAGGCUGAUACCGCCCAAGAGUUCAUAUCGACGGCGGUGUUUGGCACCUCGAUGUCGGCUCAUCACAUCCUGGGGCUGAAGUAGGUCCCAAGGGUAUGGCUGUUCGCCAUUUAAAGUGGUACGCGAGCUGGGUUUAGAACGUCGUGAGACAGUUCGGUCCCUAUCUGCCGUGGGCGCUGGAGAACUGAGGGGGGCUGCUCCUAGUACGAGAGGACCGGAGUGGACGCAUCACUGGUGUUCGGGUUGUCAUGCCAAUGGCACUGCCCGGUAGCUAAAUGCGGAAGAGAUAAGUGCUGAAAGCAUCUAAGCACGAAACUUGCC
rnacentral:rRNA from 2 species